AUGUAGAUGGAAUGAUGUGGAAACAUGUCAGUCUUCGGGCCGUCUACAAGGUGCUGCAUGGCUGUCGUCAGCUCGUGCCGUGAGGUGUUGGGUUAAGUCCCGCAACGAGCGCAACCCCCAUCUUUAGUUGCCAGCGGGUUAAGCCGGGGACUCUAAAGAAACUGCCAGCGCAAGCUGAGAGGAAGGCGGGGACGACGUCAAGUCAUCACGGCCCUUACGUCCUGGGCCACACACGUGCUACAAUGGUAGGUACAGAGGGCAGCUACCCCGCGAGGGGAUGCGAAUCUCGAAAGCCUAUCUCAGUUCGGAUUGGAGUCUGCAACUCGACUCCAUGAAGCUGGAAUCGCUAGUAAUCGCGCAUCAGCCAUGGCGCGGUGAAUACGUUCCCGGGCCUUGUACACACCGCCCGUCAAACAAUGGAAGCCGGGGGUACCUGAAGUCGGUAACCGCAAGGAGCUGCCUAGGGUAAAUCUGGUAACUGGUGUUAAGUCGUAACAAGGUA
rnacentral:rRNA from 1 species